GUCUUUUUGAAAUAAAUUAAAAGUCUAACCUGCCCACUGAAAAUUUUAAAUGGCCGCAGUAUUCUAACUGUGCAAAGGUAGCAUAAUCAUUAGUCUUUUAAUUGAAGGCUGGAAUGAAUGGUUGGACGAAAUAUUAACUGUUUCAUUUAAAUUUUUUAUAGAAUUUUAUUUUUUAGUCAAAAAGCUAAAAUAAAUUUAAAAGACGAGAAGACCCUAUAAAUCUUUAUAUUUUGUUUAUUUUAAUUAUAAAGAUUAUUUUUAUUAUAAUAAAUUAAAAUAUUUUAUUGGGGUGAUAUUAAAAUUUAAAAAACUUUUAAUUUUUGAAACCAUUAAUUUAUGAAUAAUUGAUCCAUUAAUAAUGAUUAAAAAUUUAAGUUACUUUAGGGAUAACAGCGUAAUUUUUUUGGAGAGUUCAUAUCGAUAAAAAAGAUUGCGACCUCGAUGUUGGAUUAAGAUAUAAUUUUGGGUGUAGCCGUUCAAAUUUUAAGUCUGUUCGACUUUUAAAUUCUU
rnacentral:rRNA from 1 species